GAGAAAAAAAUCGUAUAAAAGGCGAGAGAAACGGCGAUAGAAAAUCAGUCGAGUGAGCAUCUCCGGCACGGAAACAACUGCAGCGCUCCAUCUGUCACUAUCUGCCUUCUUCACCGAAUUGUCAGUUCGCAACCAUGGGCGUCGUAUGCUGUUGGGUGUUGUAUCGUUGAUAGCUGGGUCGACCACUGGUGUACCGAUGUCUCCUGGGGUAUGUAGCAAACCAAACUGCAACGCUGCCGCCUUAAUACACAACAACAACAUACGCAACAACCGCUUCCUAGACCACCAAGGUUCCAGAGUAUUACACCACAAUUUAUGAUGCUCCGAGCUGCUACACCGAAUCCCGAAGUAUAACUCUGCCCCGAGUUACAUCCCUAGAGAGCCGGACUACUACACCGAUUUUCUAAAGUACUACAUCACUAAGGCACCGGAAUACUACACGACUACGUAUGCUGCCCCGGCAUACUACACCGAGGCCCCGCAUUACUACAACACCGAAGCGCUCAAGUACUACACUACAACCUACGUUGCCCCGAGCUACUACACCUACGUCCCGAAGUAUUAGUGUGCGUAAAAGGAGUCGUCUAAAAAAAAAGAAGUCGUUCCCGAACCGAGUGCCUUAUCUGUCACCAACUGCAUUUCUCGUCGUGUAACCGAUUCGCAAUUAUGGAUAACUAUGGCGUCGUGCUCCUGUUGGGUGUUGUAUCGUUGA
rnacentral:lncRNA from 1 species